CGGUAAUUCCAGCUCCAAUAGCGUAUACUAAAGUUGUUGCAGUUAAAAAGCUCGUAGUUGGAUUUCUGCGGGGACGGAGCGGCCGGACGCAACUUGCGUCUCGAGCUAGCGCUUUCCCCGCAUCCUGCCGCGAACCGUGCUACCAUUAGUUUGGUGGCGCUGGGGAUCGGCUCGAUUACUUUGAGAAAAAUAGAGUGUUCAAAGCAGGCCACACGCCUUGAAUAAGUUAGCAUGGAAUAAUGACUAAGGACUUUGGUUCUUUUCGUUGGUGUUCGGGACUGAAGUAAUGAUUGAUAGGGACAGUUGGGGCGGUCCGUAUUCCAAAGCGAGAGGUGAAAUUCUUAGACCUUCGGAAGACGAACAGCUGCGAAAGCGUUCCGCAAGGAUGUUCCCUUUGAUCAAGAACGAAAGUUGGGGGAUCGAAGACGAUCAGAUACCGUCGUAGUCUCAACUAUAAACUAUACCAGCUAGGGAUCGGCCAACGUUUAAUUAUUCGACUUGGUCGGCACCUUAUGAGAAAUCAAAGCAUCUGGGUUCCGGGGGGAGUAUGGUCGCAAGGCUGAAACUUAAAGGAAUUGACGGAAGGGCACCACCAGGCGUGGAGCCUGUGGCUUAAUUUGACUCAACACGGGAAAACUUACCAGGUCCAGACAUAGGAAGGAUUGACAGAUUGAUAGCUCUUUCUUGAUUCUGUGGGUGGUGGUGCAUGGCCGUUUUUAGUCGGUGAAGUGAUUUGUCUGCUUAAUUGCGUUAACGGACGAGACCCCAGCCUGCUAAAUAGCGCGGCCGAGCUUUGCUCGGUACGAGCUUCUUAGAGGGACCAUGAUGUGCGAUAGCACAAGGAAGUUUGGGGCAACAACAGGUCUGUGAUGCCCUUAGAUGUUCUGGGCCGCACACGGGCUACACUGGCGCCUGCAACGAGCAUAUCAGCUGGCCCGAGAGGGUCUUGGCUAAUCUUUGGAACCGGCGCCGUGCUUGGGAUUGACCAUUGCAAUUGUUGGUCAUGCAACGAGGAAUGCCUUGUAAACGCGAGUCAUCAGCUCGCAUUGAAUACGUCCCUGCCCUCUGUACACACCGCCCGUCGCUCCUACCGAUGAAUGUUCCGAUGAAAUUUUCGGAGAGCGCCGGAGAACGGGGCUUUGCCCUGCAGAACUGGAGGCUCAAGGUCACUUAAAUCUGAGCAUUUCGAGGAAGGAGAAGUCGUAACAAGGUAGCCG
rnacentral:rRNA from 1 species